UACGUAGGUGGCAAGCGUUGUCCGGAAUUAUUGGGCGUAAAGAGCGCGCAGGCGGUCUGACAAGUCAGAUGUGAAAGCCCACGGCUCAACCGUGGAGGGUCAUUGGAAACUGGGGGACUUGAGUGCAGAAGAGGAAAGCGGAAUUCCACGUGUAGCGGUGAAAUGCGUAGAGAUGUGGAGGAACACCAGUGGCGAAGGCGGCUUUCUGGUCUGUAACUGACGCUGAGGCGCGAAAGCGUGGGGAGCAAACAGG
rnacentral:rRNA from 1 species